UAAUAGUAUAAUAAAAUUUUUCCUUCACUACCACGUCACGUAUUUUCGUAGUCAGAUACAUUUAGUUUUAUCGUGACCGUUGUAUCGAGCACUUCGUAAGUUAGCACGUUUUAUUUUACUGCAAAUGAGUGAACAAUCUCCGUAUUUAAAUAAAAAAAGAACUCACGAUGUUCCCAGACAACGAUAAAUAGCAAAAAAACGCAAGUUUACCGGAAACCGACAUACAUUUGAGCAAUCUACUGCGUACAUCAGUACGUCCGCAAAGAAACUAUUACAGAAUAAUGACGAUAAUGUUGUGAUUGACCCAUCUCAUGGAUAUCGUAUUUUACAGUUUGUCUCAGUUUUUAGUGCAAUUAGGAAUUUAGUGAUGUGCAAAACUUGUCAAAAAGAAAUUACUCUUAAUCAAGCAAGUCCAAGAGGCCUAGGGUUUGAAAUAGCUGUCACUUGUGAAUGUGGUAAUUCGUACAUCAAUUCUGGACCAAUGAUCGAUAACGCAUUUGAAAUGAAUAGACAUCUUGUGGCUGUGAUGCGUCUUUUGGGCGUCGGAAUAAACAGGAUAAAUCUUUUUUGUGGAUUAAUGGAUCUAGCAUGCAAAUUUUAUAAUCAAACUUUUGCUGGAUGUUUCACAAAUUUAUGGACUGCAGCCGAAACCGUUUGUAAACUUAGUAUGCAACAAGCUGUAAAUGAAGGAAAAGAGCUUACAUCAAAGAAAGAAAACUCAGAGAAAAAUUUGACCGUUAGCGGCGACGGUGCCUGGAAAAAACGUGGUCAUACUUCCCGUUUUGGAGUAGUUACGCUGGAAGGAAAAUACAGCAAGAAAAUUCUUGGUUCAUAUGUGAAGUCUACAUACUGUCAGAGUUGUGUUUUUUGGAAGAAAAAAAAAGAGAGCGAUCCUGAAGCUUACGAAGAAUGAUUAUCAAUACACGAAGAAGAAUGUAAUAUUAAUCGUGAGGGAUCUGCCUCGAAAAUGGAAGUAGAUAGUGUAAAAGACGUGUUUGGUCGUUCGUUUAGUGAAUAUGGCGUAAAAUAUUUUCGCUACAUUGGUGAUGGUGAUAGUGCCACUGAUAAAGGAUUAAUAGAUUUGAAUCCUUAUGAUAUUCCUGUUGAAAAAUUAGAAUGCUACUUGCAUGUGAAAAAAAGAAUAGGAACACGAUGCCGAAAUUUAAAGAAAACCAAUAACAAGUUAGGAGGAAGAAGUAAAACAUCGCAAAAGUUAACUGUAAAUUUAAUAAAUCAAAUACCAAAAUAUUACGGUUUGGCAAUUAUGAGAAAUCAGAAUAAUGUAGACGAAAUGUAUAAAGCAAUCUGGGCUACGUUUCAUCAUUUGUGUUCAACUGAUAAAAAACCAAACCAUGACAAUUGUCCAGAAGGCGCAGAGAGUUUGUGCGCUUAUCGCCGCGCGGAAGCUGAAGGAAUGAUGAUCAUAGUUGGACCUGCAGCAAGAGAUUAUGCGGCUCUUAAGGACGAGACGAGACUACGAAUCGCUAAUCAUCGCCAACAGGCUUCUUCAAAGAGGGUCGAUCAUCUCGAAAAAGAGCUUCUUCAGCUCAACAAGCACUUUUUGAAGGAGAGGAAAGUAAAUUAUAUGGGCCUGGAAUAGCAGAUUAGCUGUUUCAUCCACGGAGAAGGUCGGAAUCACUGCAGCAGUGGAGGACCUUUUUUUUAGCGCCGUCGGAGAUCGCGUGUAACUCGAAAAAUGUUUGAUUUUUUUCUUCAAAAAUUUUACUGUGUAUUCUUAAAGUAUGCAUAAAUAUACCCUGAAAAUUUUAAAAUAAUUGAUACGGUAGUUUUUUUUCUUUUUAUUCUCAAAAAUCGCCUUUCUUAGGCUGUCACACCAGGUGUGCCCCUUAAAGAUAGGGUUGCCGAUCGGGGCAGAAUCUACGCUGUUAGAAAAAUACCCUCCGCCUGGCGAUCGUUUCAGAAGAGCACUCCAAAGAAAGACUUCAAAAACUGCACUUUUUCGAUAUUGCCCAAUUUUAUAGUUUCAAACCUAUAUGGAAUACGAUGCAGUUGUUGACUUUCGUCAAUUUUCAAAAAUUAUAUCGAGACAACCUGGCGAAGAAUUUCGACCGGCAACGAAUCGAGCGGCAAUAUAAGUGCAGCCCCUUGGUGACAAAAGAGGCCCGUAAAUCACGCAAAGAGCUGAAAUGGAUGGUCAAAAUGACUAUUACGAAGAAGCUGAAGGACUAUUAUAUAUUGCUGGAAUAGCUGACUGGUCAGUAAGUCGCAGAUUCAUGCGUGUUUCCCUCGCUGAAACUUUAAACGUGAUUAUCUCGAAACUCUUUUUCAGUGACUUGAAAAUCGGUGUACACGAUUACUGAAAAACCAUUUUACCGAUCGAGCUUAAAUUUGGCAGACGUUUUCAUGACACUUAUGUCCAAUCGAUGAAUUUAAUACCGUCUAAAAAUUAUCAAAAUAAACUUAUCAAAUGGAAAAAAAUUUUUUUUUGGCUGGAUCGGUUUGAAAUUUUUCCUGAAAAAAUCAACUUUUUUAUUUUAAGGCUUCCCCUUCAGCCAAAUAUCAUUUUUUUCCCUAUAUUAUUGCUUGAAUAACUGACCACACGUAUAUACUAAUUAAUAUUUUUGCGAAGACUGUUUUAGAUAAUCUUACAAGGUACUUACUUGUUUUAUCUCCGCGAUUUUACACUUUUUUUUAGCUACGAAAAAGUUUCGAAAAUUAUAAAUAAUGUAA
rnacentral:lncRNA from 1 species